rnacentral:rRNA from 1 species
CUCCCCGUGAAGAGGCGGGGAUAACACAAUAAGACGAGAAGACCCUAUGGAGCUUUAAUUAAUCAACUCAAAAAGCAUAAAAUAAUACCACCAAGGGAUAACAAAGCUUUACAUGAGCUGACAAUUUCGGUUGGGGUGACCUCGGAGCAUAAAAAACCCUCCGAGUGAUUAAAACUUAGGCCUACCAGCCAAAGUAUAACAUCACUUAUUGAUCCAAAAUUUUGAUCAACGGAACAAGUUACCCUAGGGAUAACAGCGCAAUCCUAUUCUAGAGUCCAUAUCGACAAUAGGGUUUACGACCUCGAUGUUGGAUCAGGACAUCCUAGUGGUGCAGCAGCUACUAAGGGUUCGUUUGUUCAACGAUUAAAGUCCUACGUGAUCUGAGUUCAGACCGGAGCAAUCCAGGUCGGUUUCUAUCUAUUACGCAUUUCUCCCGGUACGAAAGGACAAGAGAAAUAAGGCCAACUUUAAAAAGCGCCUUCAAACAAUUAGUGACCCAAUCUCAACCUAAUAAUCUAGCGCAAAUAUGCCCUGCCCAAGAUCAGGGCUUU